rnacentral:rRNA from 1 species
GACGAACGCUGGCGGCGUGCCUAACACAUGCAAGUCGAGCGAAUGAAGUUCCUUCGGGAAUGGAUUUAGCGGCGGACGGGUGAGUAACACGUGGGCAACCUGCCUCAUAGAGGGGAAUAGCCUCCCGAAAGGGAGAUUAAUACCGCAUAAGAUUGUAGUACCGCAUGAUACAGCAAUUAAAGGAGCAAUCCGCUAUGAGAUGGGCCCGCGGCGCAUUAGCUAGUUGGUGAGGUAAUGGCUCACCAAGGCGACGAUGCGUAGCCGACCUGAGAGGGUGAUCGGCCACAUUGGGACUGAGACACGGCCCAGACCCCUACGGGAGGCAGCAGUGGGGAAUAUUGCACAAUGGGGGAAACCCUGAUGCAGCAACGCCGCGUGAGUGAUGACGGCCUUCGGGUUGUAAAGCUCUGUCUUCAGGGACGAUAAUGACGGUACCUGAGGAGGAAGCCACGGCUAACUACGUG